GAUGAACGCUGGCGGCGUGCUUAACACAUGCAAGUCGAACGAGAGUUCUUCGAGUGUUUUCUUCGGAAUGUUCCUGCGGACGGAUAGUAGAGAACGGGAGAGUAACACGUGAGAAAUCGGCCUUUCACAAAGGGAUAGCUCCGGUAAACCGGGAUUAAUACCUUAUGAAAGCUCACACUCGCAUGAGAGAUUGGUUGAAGAUUUAUCGGGGUUACAUGGUCUCGCGUCUGAUUAGUUAGUUGGCGGGAUAAAAACCUACCAAGGCAACGAUGAGUAGCCGGGCUGAUAGGGUGAACGGCCACACUGGAACGGAGACACGGUCCAGACUCCUACGGGAGGCAGCAGGGGGGAAUUUUCCACAAUGGGGGAAAGGCUGAUGGAGCAAAGCCGCGUGGGGGAUGAAGGUCUUCGGGUUGUAAAACACUGUUGGUAGGGAAGAAAAUGUAUGUGGGUAAAAGUGCGCUUCUUGACGGUAACCAAACAGAAAGCCACGGCUAAAUACGUG
rnacentral:rRNA from 1 species